AUCCAGACCGCUUUUUAUCAGUGACCUGUUCUCUUCAUUAUUUACCACUCCCCCAUUUUGGGGUCAUCUGCAAACCUUAUCGGUGAUGAGUUUGUUUUCUUUCAAGUUACUGAUAAAAAUGUUCAAUAGUUUAGGAUCAAGAAGAUCACGCAGCAGUUCUCACAAGAAUCAGGGUUUCCCAAAUGCCACACCUGAUGCUCGAUGGCCUGACAGCUCCCCCCCCACCCCAGGGGUGACUGGAUUCUAUGGGUGCUGUGGCCAUAUGAAAAGCUCACCUGGGCAAACAAGGAAACCAUCCUACCAAGGCAGUGACGACGUGCAUGCUCUACAGUUUUCUGUUUGGCCACCCAGCACUGCAGCACCUUCUUCCGGUAAGUAUCCACCCUCUCCACAUAUGUGUACAAGUUCCGGACCUCAGCACCAUCAUUUGCAGCUCUGGCAGUUUCCAAUCGGGACAUUAAGGUUUGUCUUGAAAUAGAAAGAAAAAGAAUUAGAUUGUGAGCUAGGGAUCUUCUCCACAACAGAAGAGAAGCCGGACAACAUAGUUCAGUAUGUAUCAGGUUCUCAGGGGAGUAUGGAAGGAUAUGCAAAACUGAGGGAUGCUUUGACUUUCAGGUUCCCUCUACCCACCCAUUCAUCUCAGCUUUUCUGGUGCCCCAUCAUCUAGGCACCACAGUACCUCGUUUGGAUCUCUUUUUAUCAGAGAUGGCCCCAAACUGCAACCGUGGAACCAACACCAGUGACCUUUGUGGGGGUUGAAAUCCAAAUCCAUGGGCUGUGGCUUAAAUUCAUCAUUACCUUAUUUCUCAAAAUUCAGGGUCGGGGGUGGGAUAAAUGGUUCUGGAUCUGAUCCAUCUCUAAUUUUGAUGCCAGGUUCUUUCUCAAAUGUGUACAAUGGAUCUCAUCUCUGAGCAUGGAACCCCACUCAUGCCACCAGGUGAUGAGACCAUGUGGACUUUCCUUUUGCUGCUUUGAGCCCUUACCUGCCCCCACCCCUCAAAAAAUUAUAGCGUUGAUCUGACUGAUUUAGGAACAAAUCCCAGAGGCACCAAGCACCCAAAACUACCAUAGAAGUAACGGAAAUAGUCUGUCUAUUGCUGAGCAAGGGCCAAGUGUUGAGAGAUGCUGAACAUACUUAGCAUAAAAUCUUGUUCCGACUAAGAUAACUGAGAGUUUGACCGCUGAGCUCAAUGGAAGCAGACUUUAAUGGGUGCUGCAUGGGCUAAGCACCAUUCAGGAUCUGAUCCGCUAUACUGCAUCCUGGCUGCCCUGAAAAACAGCCAGAACAAAGGGGCUGCAGGGCAGCUGUCUUUGGAGAAUAAUUUGGUGCAAGAGGCUAUUCCAGGGUGGGCUUGUGUGUUUGGCAUGUAAGAGGAGGGAGGCGACAUGAAUAAGGUGUGUCUGAACCUUAUUUAUUCCCCACCUGUCACAAGGCUUGUGGUCUGAGCAAGUCUUUAGGAGGGUACUCAGGAUUUGGC
rnacentral:lncRNA from 1 species